AUUUCUCCGAGAAAGAGGCAGCAGUUGCCGAAGAAUGAUGACGAAAAUUGUGCCAACCGCAUCUUGUCAUGGCUGCCAAGGCUCAUGUUGCCUCCUUCCCUUCUCUUUGUAUUGAAUUUGAUUUUUUACGCGCAAAUGUUUGAUUUGCCUUCCUCGAGGGAUUUGGACAAUAUUUGUAUUGAAUCUGAUAUCUUACGGGCAAAUGUACGAUUUGCCUUCAUGGAGGGAUUUGGACAGUUGAGUUUGAUGCGGUAAGGGGUAUUUGUACCUCUGUGGACAGUUG
rnacentral:lncRNA from 1 species